AGAGUUUGAUCCUGGCUCAGGAUGAACGCUAGCGGCAGGCCUAAUACAUGCAAGUCGAACGUCAUUUUUGACUUCGGUUAAAAAUGAGUGGCGAACGGGUGAGUAACACGUAUGCAACCUACCCCUUACCGGGGAAUAGCUUCGAGAAAUCGAAAUUAAUACCCCAUAAUAUUUAACUUGGGCAUCCUUGUUAAAUUAAAGUUCCGGCAGUAAGGGAUGGGCAUGCGGCCCAUUAGCUUGUUGGUGAAGGUAACGGCUCACCAAGGCAACGAUGGGUAGCUGGUCUGAGAGGAUGAUCAGCCACACUGGCACUGAGACACGGGCCAGACUCCUACGGGAGGCAGCAGUAGGGAAUAUUGGUCAAUGGACGAAAGUCUGAACCAGCCAUGCCGCGUGCAGGAUGACGGAUCUAUGAUUUGUAAACUGCUUUUAUUCGGGAAGAACAGCAAGUAUUCUUAUUUGUCUGACGGUACCGAUUGAAUAAGCACCGGCUAACUCCGUGCCAGCAGCCGCGGUAAUACGGAGGGCGCAAGCGUUACUCGGAAUCACUGGGCGUAAAGAGCGUGUAGGCGGGUAUUUAAGUUGGAAGUGAAAUCCUAUGGCUCAACCAUAGAACUGCUUCCAAAACUGAAUACCUAGAAUAUGGGAGAGGUAGAUGGAAUUUCUGGUGUAGGGGUAAAAUCCGUAGAGAUCAGAAGGAAUACCGAUUGCGAAGGCGAUCUACUGGAACAUUAUUGACGCUGAGACGCGAAAGCGUGGGGAGCAAACAGGAUUAGAUACCCUGGUAGUCCACGCCCUAAACGAUGUACAUUAGUUGUUGCGAUGCUAGACAUUGCAGUAAUGCAGUUAACACAUUAAAUGUACCGCCUGGGGAGUACGGUCGCAAGAUUAAAACUCAAAGGAAUAGACGGGGACCCGCACAAGCGGUGGAGCAUGUGGUUUAAUUCGACGAUACGCGAAGAACCUUACCUGGCCUUGACAUAGAAAGAAUUUAGCAGAGAUGUAAAAGUGCUAGUUUACUAGAGCUUUCAUACAGGUGCUGCACGGCUGUCGUCAGCUCGUGUCGUGAGAUGUUAGGUUAAGUCCUGCAACGAGCGCAACCCUCGUGUUUAGUUACUAACAGUUCGGCUGAGGACUCUAGACAUACUGCCUGGGCAACCAGGAGGAAGGUGAGGACGACGUCAAGUCAUCAUGGCCCUUACGGCCAGGGCUACACACGUGCUACAAUGGGGUAUACAAAGAGCCGCAAUACCGCGAGGUGGAGCAAAUCUCAUAAAAUAUCUCCCAGUUCGGAUUACACUCUGCAACUCGAGUGUAUGAAGUUGGAAUCGCUAGUAAUCGUAGAUCAGCAAUGCUACGGUGAAUACGUUCCCGGGUCUUGUACUCACCGCCCGUCACACCAUGGGAGUUGAAUUCAUUCGAAGCGGGGAUGCUAAAAUAGCUACCUUCCACAGUGGAUUUAGUAACUAGGGUGAAGUCGUAACAAGGUAACC
rnacentral:rRNA from 1 species